rnacentral:lncRNA from 1 species
UUUGCCUUAGCUUAUGGCAUGUCCAGUGGGCAUUCUUUAUUUCCUUUCCUUCUCCUGUAAUGGAACGAAAAAAGCCAACCUAUUAUGUCAUUGUAACUUGCUAGUAGAUUGAGUUUAAUCGUAUACCAUUUGCUGCAUUACCACAAUAAUUCCCAGGCUUGAAAAUCUUGUGGACCCAAAUAUCUAUAAUAAUAUUUAUACCUAACUGUGCUUCAAUGGAUUGAUCAUAUGAAUUAUGUAACAAUGUUUUUGCAUUCCCACUGAUGGUUGAGAGGCCCUGUUGCAAAUGAACAAGGUGGAUGCUAGGGUAGUGGAAUAUCUAUAUGGCGUUAGAGAACAAGAAAGAAAAUAGGCCACUUGGAAAAGUGUAUGCUAUGUUCAUCUCACUUUCCCCCAAAUUUACAAAGUCGUAUCUAGUAAUAGAAAAUCAAUGAUCUAGAUCUUCAAUAAAUU